GGUCAGUGAUGAGCAGUAAAAGGUCUGAUUACCCACAAUCCUCUCCUGCUGCCCUCUAGUUCCCAGCAGCUCCUGCUCUGUUCUCCCAUCAUGCUCUAGUGGUGCAGGGUGGUCCCAGGAGCUGCUGACAGACAGACAGGAUGUGACAUCACAGUGCGAGUCGGUACAGAGACCCUACAGACUCGGUGUGAUGAUGUCAUCUAACAGAACCUAUCAGUGAGGAGCGUGAGGCUGAGGAGGAGGAGGGAGAUGAUCUCCAGUUUUCAACCUGAGACC